CACGAGGGUGCUGAAGGCACAAAGCUUGCAUGUUGCAAGGCGAUGUGGCCUAGGCACAAGGGUGCCAAAGGCAUAAGACUUGCAUGUUGCAAGACAAUGGAGCUAGGCACGGGGGUGCCGAAGGCAAAGGGGAUGCCGAAGGCACAAAGCUUGCAUGUCGCAAGGCAAUGUGCCUAGGCACGAGGGUGCCGAAGGCAUAAGAAUUGCAUGUCGCAAGGUGAUGGGCCUAGGCACGAGGGUGCCGAAGGCAUAAUACUUACAUGUUGCAAGACAAUAGAGCUAGGCACGGGGGUGCCGAAGGCAAAGGAGAUGCCGAAGGCACAAAGCUUGCAUGUCGCAAGGCAAUGUGCCUAGGCACGAGGGUGCCGAAGGCAUAAGAAUUGCAUGUCGCAAGGUGAUGGGCCUAGGCACGAGGGUGCCGAAGGCAUAAGACUUGCAUGUUGCAAGACAAUAGAGCUAGGCACGGGGGUGCCGAAGGCAAAGGGGAUGCCGAAGGCACAAAGCUUGCAUGUCGCAAGGCAAUGUGCCUAGGCACGAGGGUGCCGAAGGCAUAAGAAUUGCAUGUCGCAAGGUGAUGGGCCUAGGCACGAGGGUGCCGAAGGCAUAAGACUUGCAUGUUGCAAGACAAUAGAGCUAGGCACGGGGGUGCCGAAGGCAAAGGGGAUGCCGAAGGCACAAAGCUUGCAUGUCGCAAGGCAAUGUGCCUAGGCACGAGGGUGCCGAAGGCAUUACAAAGCUUGCAUGUUUGCAAGGCAAUGUAGCGAGGCUUGGAAGUGCCGAAUGCAAAAGGGGAUGUCGAAGGCAUGAAGGUGCUGAAGGGAAGAAAUGCAUAUGUGCAAAUAAUAAUAAUAAUAAUAAUAGCUUUUUUUUUUUUUGGGAGCUGGGUCCGUAGGUUUUUUUUUUUUUUUUUUUUUUUGGGAGCUCGGGAGCUAGACCUUCGGCAGGCUGAGGCUGUUGAAAAUUUUGGGGGCUCUCCUCUCCUUCGAUGGUCCUUGCCGUUCGGCAAGGUCCUAGCCUUUUUUUUUUUUCGAGGCCGAGCCUUUGCCUUUGUGGGUUUGUUGGUGUUUCUUUCAUGGCCCUUGCCGUUCGGCAAGGGACCAAAGUGGUUUUGGCUAACGAGUUUGAGAGGGUUGGACCCGAGAUGGGCCUUGGCCAAAUGAGAAAAGAAUAGGAGCUAGGGUUUUGCAUUGUGAGAGAGGGAUAAAUAAAAAUUCACUGCCCCUGCCGUUCGGCAUGAAAUAGCUUAUUUCCUUCGGACCUAGGCUCUUAUUUCCUUCGGCAAGGGUGUCGGGUGCCGAGGCGAGGCUGGGCUGUGCCGUGAGUUUUGGGGGCUCCUGUCGAUCGGCAGGGGCGGUUGCGAAGAUGCUGGUCCGUCAGCAGUCGGGCACGUCCCUGAGGUUGCGGUAGGAGGGUGAAGCCGGGCUGCGUGGAUAUUUUGGCCAGACCUGGAGUUGCUACAACAGUCCUUGUGGGUGGGCGCUAGACGGCUCGACAUCAGUCCCUGCCGAACGGUAGGGUGGGCGUGACUUUUUGGUGAAGGGUUCGUGAUCUGAAGGGGGGUUACCUGUUCGUGUUUUGUGAGGGCCAGCAGCGGUGAUUUGGGAAGAGCUAGAUCUCUCUAUCUUCGGCAAGGCAAGGAAGGUGACCGAGCCUUCUUGUCUUCGGCAAGUCCGAUAAGGUUUAAUUUGGAGCUGGGCUGCACGAGCUGGCGAUUCGGUGUGGGUAUUUUCGUGAUCCCAACAAAUUUUGUGGGCCUUGCCGUUCGGCAAGGCCAGCUUGUGAGCUCGAGUUGCCCAUAUUUGUUUUUCUUAAUCCUUGCCGUUCGGCAAGGGCUUAUUUGGACUUGAACCCAUGUUUGAUGGGUUGUUGAAUUCCGGUGUAUACGUACUUGUUUGAUGUUUGCAGCAGGGUCCUUGGCAAGGCAAAAACAGGAGUUGAGGCUUCGGUGACCUUGGCUGGGGCUGAGGUGAGUAGUUUUCGGAGCUUUCAGCAACUUCCGCGUGGGCCUUGCCGUUCGGCAAGGCCUUCUGAAAUUCCUUUGUGCUUUUGUUUUUUGUCUUCGGCAAGUGGGCUGAUCCCAUGGGGGUGUGCAGAUUUGGAAGCCGGGCUGCGUGGGUCACGGCGGCUUGAUCUUGUUCUGAAAGUUAUCGGGGCUUGCGCAAGAGUGAUUAGCUUGGGAAGGGUCAGUGGAGCUGGGCUCAUUGAUUUUCGGCAAGAGGCGGACUGGUGGUGGCAGAUUCAGAAUCCGUGAGGCUGGGCCCUUUCGUUGGUGGAGUGCUUCUAGGCUUCGUGAGUUCGUAGUCUUGGUGGGCCUCCCAUUUUUUGUGCUCAACCCUUGUCGUUCGACAAGGGUGUGUUGAGCAAUUCUCUUUGUGGCGUUAUGUUUGUGAGGGCUGGCUGCGAGUUGCAGGUUGCUAGGGUAGGUCCAGCUAAGUACGGGUUUUUACUCGGCUGAACCCUUCCGUUUGGCAAGGGUGUCUUGAGCAAAUGGGUGUGCCAUUUGGUGUUCUGACUUUUCAUCCCAUAUUGGGACCUGGGCUUGUUUUAUCAGCAUAGUGCCGAUCGGCAAGAAGUGUUUGGCAAGAUCUCGCUCGGGAGGGUGGUUACGGCUUUGAGCUGAAGCAUGGGUAAGUCACCGACUGAUGGCAAAUGAGCUGGGCCUUUGUGGGUCGUCAGAGCUGGGCCAUUGAAGAUUCGGCAAGGCUUUGAAAGUGACGUGCCUAGGAUCCUGCUGUUCCGCAAAAAUCUUGAGAACUUGGCUGUAGCUUUUGGGUACCGACGGAGAGGACCAAGGAAUUGGAGCUGACGAUUUGCAAAAGGCUGGGCUUCGGUAAUGAGGCUGCAUAGUCGGCAAUGUGGCUGUACAAUCGGGAGGAGGCCGUGCAUGCGCGCGCUCUUUCGUAGCUUUCCGCAUAGCCCUUCGGCAUGACUCUAAAGCUGGGUUCGAUCUUUGUGAAGGUGGCCUUGGGAAAGGGAGCCACGAGCACCCUUGUAUCCCCUCGGCGAUGAUUUCGUGAGCUAUCCUCGGAGUCGAGAUCCACAGCCUGGAGUCUAGCAGUUUGGAGGAGAUUUGUCUCAAGCUUUGGACACUUGGGCAUUGUAGGCUUCGGCAAGGGCAGUGGCAUGAUUUUGCUGCUGUAAAGCUUGGGUAUAUACUUGCAAGGAGUUACAACCCUUGCUGCUCAGUGCCUUCUGCAAGCGGGGUGAGCAGCAAAGGUCUAUGCAUGGCAAAGCAAGGUGGUGGUUCAUUCGGCAAGGUGACCAAGUCCUCACGGCCUCGGCAAGGUGAGGUUCAAUUGGAGGGAUGUGCUCGUGAGUUCUCCUUGCAAUCUUUGGUUGUUCCCAAUGCUUGAUUAAAAAUUGUUGGUAUAGAGUUCCGAACUGUAGCCCAUGAAAGAGUAUAUGGAUUAAAAAUUUCUGGAGCAUAUGGUUGCUGUUUGGAGGAUGGGGUGCCGUUUGGCUUGGCCAUUUGAAUUGCUUCAGACUUUCGAAUAUACUAAAAUAUAAGAUAGGAGUUUGGCAUUUGCGGCUAGUUGUCUUCAAUCAUGCAAACGAUAAUAACCAUGUAAGCCAUGCAAACAAUAAUAACCAUGCAAGCCAUGCAAGAAAUAAUAACCACGUGGGCUUCCCAUUGGAUUGAAAUGGUGGUUGGCCCCCUUAGCCCUGCAAAGUGAUGCUGUCGGUGAAUUGGAAUAUUUGGCAUUUGCCAAAUUGGGGCAUCUUCAAAGUGGCCCGGACAGCUAUUAUUCAUUGCGAUAUUCAUGAA
rnacentral:lncRNA from 1 species